rnacentral:rRNA from 1 species
ACGGAGGGGGCCAGCGUUGCUCGGAAUUAUUGGGCGUAAAGGGCGCGUAGGCGGCCAGGUAAGUUUGAUGUGAAAUCCCACGGCUUAACCGUGGAAUUGCAUCUUAUACUGCCUGGCUUGAGUCUGGGAGAGGGAAGCGGAAUUCCCGGUGUAGCGGUGAAAUGCGUAGAUAUCAGGAGGAACACCGGUGGCGAAGGCGGCAUCCUGGACCGGCAUUGACGCUGAGGCGCGAAAGCCAGGGGAGCAAACGGGA